CUGCUGCUGCUGCUGCUGUUGGUUCGUUAAUUAUUCCGCAAUUGGAAAAAUGUGCAAUACACAAUCGAUUUGUAAUCAGCAAAUUAGGCAAGAACGGAAAAGAUGUGCCAACAAUGCAACUUUACACGAAAAUAUAACUCAAAACGGAACUCAAGACUUGGAUAUCAAACGAGAAUCAAAGGCAACAAGGCAACGCACUAAGGCGACAUUAGCAACAGGUCAUUGGAGUACUACUUACAUCCGCCUGCAGUCUUUGCGCCUCCUGCUCCGUCUCGAAGGUGACGAAUCCAUAGCCCUUGCUCACGCCGGCCCGAUCCACGAUGAUCUUGGUGCUCUUUACCGUUCCGUAGGCGCUGAAGACGCGGGUCAGAUCGGCCUCGGUGGUAUCGCCGCUAGAUAGGGAAGAUCUGGUUUAGUUGGCUCUACUUAAAAGAACUAAAGAAUUUCUAAGGCUUCCGGGAAUCGAAAUUGGAGUCGGAGGACAGAGGACAGAGGGG